GUGGCGAACGGGUGAGUAACACGUGAGCAACCUGCCCUGGACUCUGGGAUAAGCGCUGGAAACGGUGUCUAAUACUGGAUAUGAGCUCUCAUCGCAUGGUGGGGGUUGGAAAGAUUUUUUGGUCUGGGAUGGGCUCGCGGCCUAUCAGCUUGUUGGUGAGGUAAUGGCUUACCAAGGCGUCGACGGGUAGCCGGCCUGAGAGGGUGACCGGCCACACUGGGACUGAGACACGGCCCAGACUCCUACGGGAGGCAGCAGUGGGGAAUAUUGCACAAUGGGCGGAAGCCUGAUGCAGCAACGCCGCGUGAGGGAUGACGGCCUUCGGGUUGUAAACCUCUUUUAGCAGGGAAGAAGCGUGAGUGACGGUACCUGCAGAAAAAGCGCCGGCUAACUACGUGCCAGCAGCCGCGGUAAUACGUAGGGCGCAAGCGUUAUCCGGAAUUAUUGGGCGUAAAGAGCUCGUAGGCGGUUUGUCGCGUCUGCUGUGAAAUCCCGAGGCUCAACCUCGGGUCUGCAGUGGGUACGGGCAGACUAGAGUGCGGUAGGGGAGAUUGGAAUUCCUGGUGUAGCGGUGGAAUGCGCAGAUAUCAGGAGGAACACCGAUGGCGAAGGCAGAUCUCUGGGCCGUAACUGACGCUGAGGAGCGAAAGGGUGGGGAGCAAACAGGCUUAGAUACCCUGGUAGUCCACCCCGUAAACGUUGGGAACUAGUUGUGGGGACCAUUCCACGGUUUCCGUGACGCAGCUAACGCAUUAAGUUCCCCGCCUGGGGAGUACGGCCGCAAGGCUAAAACUCAAAGGAAUUGACGGGGACCCGCACAAGCGGCGGAGCAUGCGGAUUAAUUCGAUGCAACGCGAAGAACCUUACCAAGGCUUGACAUACACCAGAACACCGUAGAAAUACGGGACUCUUUGGACACUGGUGAACAGGUGGUGCAUGGUUGUCGUCAGCUCGUGUCGUGAGAUGUUGGGUUAAGUCCCGCAACGAGCGCAACCCUCGUUCUAUGUUGCCAGCACGUUAUGGUGGGAACUCAUGGGAUACUGCCGGGGUCAACUCGGAGGAAGGUGGGGAUGACGUCAAAUCAUCAUGCCCCUUAUGUCUUGGGCUUCACGCAUGCUACAAUGGCCGGUACAAAGGGCUGCAAUACCGUGAGGUGGAGCGAAUCCCAAAAAGCCGGUCCCAGUUCGGAUUGAGGUCUGCAACUCGACCUCAUGAAGUCGGAGUCGCUAGUAAUCGCAGAUCAGCAACGCUGCGGUGAAUACGUUCCCGGGUCUUGUACACACCGCCCGUCAAGUCAUGAAAGUCGGUAACACCUGAAGCCGGUGGCCCAA
rnacentral:rRNA from 1 species